rnacentral:rRNA from 1 species
UGCAGUCGAACGAUGAAGCCCAGCUUGCUGGGUGGAUUAGUGGCGAACGGGUGAGUAACACGUGAGUAACCUGCCCUUAACUCUGGGAUAAGCCUGGGAAACUGGGUCUAAUACCGGAUAGGAGCGUCCACCGCAUGGUGGGUGUUGGAAAGAUUUAUCGGUUUUGGAUGGACUCGCGGCCUAUCAGCUUGUUGGUGAGGUAAUGGCUCACCAAGGCGACGACGGGUAGCCGGCCUGAGAGGGUGACCGGCCACACUGGGACUGAGACACGGCCCAGACUCCUACGGGAGGCAGCAGUGGGGAAUAUUGCACAAUGGGCGCAAGCCUGAUGCAGCGACGCCGCGUGAGGGAUGACGGCCUUCGGGUUGUAAACCUCUUUCAGUAGGGAAGAAGCGAAAGUGACGGUACCUGCAGAAGAAGCACCGGCUAACUACGUGCCAGCAGCCGCGGUAAUACGUAGGGUGCGAGCGUUAUCCGGAAUUAUUGGGCGUAAAGAGCUCGUAGGCGGUUUGUCGCGUCUGUCGUGAAAGUCCGGGGCUUAACCCCGGAUCUGCGGUGGGUACGGGCAGACUAGAGUGCAGUAGGGGAGACUGGAAUUCCUGGUGUAGCGGUGGAAUGCGCAGAUAUCAGGAGGAACACCGAUGGCGAAGGCAGGUCUCUGGGCUGUAACUGACGCUGAGGAGCGAAAAGCAUGGGGAGCGCACAGGAUUAGAUACCCUGGUUAUUCCAUGCCGUAAACGUUGGGCACUAGGUGUGGGGACCAUUCCACGGUUUCCGCGCCGCAGCUAACGCAUUAAGUGCCCCGCCUGGGGAGUACGGCCGCAAGGCUAAAACUCAAAGGAAUUGACGGGGGCCCGCACAAGCGGCGGAGCAUGCGGAUUAAUUCGAUGCAACGCGAAGAACCUUACCAAGGCUUGACAUGUUCUCGAUCGCCGUAGAGAUACGGUUUCCCCUUUGGGGCGGGUUCACAGGUGGUGCAUGGUUGUCGUCAGCUCGUGUCGUGAGAUGUUGGGUUAAGUCCCGCAACAAGCGCAACCCUCGUUCCAUGUUGCCAGCACGUCGUGGUGGGGACUCAUGGGAGACUGCCGGGGUCAACUCGGAGGAAGGUGAGGACGACGUCAAAUCAUCAUGCCCCUUAUGUCUUGGGCUUCACGCAUGCUACAAUGGCCGGUACAAUGGGUUGCGAUACUGUGAGGUGGAGCUAAUCCCAAAAAGCCGGUCUCAGUUCGGAUUGGGGUCUGCAACUCGACCCCAUGAAGUCGGAGUCGCUAGUAAUCGCAGAUCAGCAACGCUGCGGUGAAUACGUUCCCGGGCCUUGUACACACCGCCCGUCAAGUCACGAAAGUUGGUAACACCCGAAGCCGGUGGCCUAACCCUUGUGGGGGGAGCCGUCGAAGGUGGGACCAGCGAUUGGACUAAGUCGA